rnacentral:rRNA from 1 species
AUUGAACGCUGGCGGCAUGCCUUACACAUGCAAGUCGAACGGUAACGGGCCUUCGGGUGCCGACGAGUGGCGAACGGGUGAGUAAUGCAUCGGAACGUACCUUUCAGUGGGGGGAUAACGUAGCGAAAGUUACGCUAAUACCGCAUAUUCUGUGAGCAGGAAAGCAGGGGAUCGCAAGACCUUGCGCUGAUUGAGCGGCCGAUGUCAGAUUAGCUAGUUGGUGAGGUAAAGGCUCACCAAGGCGACGAUCUGCAGCGGGUCUGAGAGGAUGAUCCGCCACACUGGAACUGAGACACGGUCCAGACUCCUACGGGAGGCAGCAGUGGGGAAUUUUGGACAAUGGGGGCAACCCUGAUCCAGCCAUGCCGCGUGAGUGAAGAAGGCCUUCGGGUUGUAAAGGCU